rnacentral:rRNA from 1 species
AUGACGUCAAGUCCCUCAUCGGCCCUUAUGGGUAGGCUUCACACGUCAUACAAUGGUCGGUACAGGAGGGUUGCCCAACCCGCGAGGGGGAGCUAAUCCCACAAAGCCGAUCGUAGUCCGGAUCGCAGUCUGCAACUCGACUGCGUGAAGUCGGAAUCGCUAGUAAUCGUGGAUCAGCAUGUCACGGUGAAUACGUUCCCGGGUCUU